ACAGGCACCAAGAUGUCCAACUGAGUGGUCUGCCGGGAAGCCAGUCACGCCGGGAGCUGGUACACAGCCUCAGGACCGCAGCUGAAUGCACAGCUAGAAGGUUGGCUCUCACAAGUACAGUCUACAAAAGACCUGCUAGAGCCAUUAUUGCACCCCAUGCAGGAUAUACGUACUGUGGGUCCUGUGCUGCUCACGCUUACAAACAAGUGGAUCCCUCCAUUACCCGGAGAAUUUUCACCCUUGGGCCUUCUCAUCAUGUGCCCCUCUCUCGAUGUGCACUUUCCAGUGUGGAUAUAUAUAGGACACCUCUGUAUGACCUUCGUAUUGACCAAAAGAUUUAUGGAGAACUAUGGAAGACAGGAAUGUUUGAACGCAUGUCUCUGCAGACAGAUGAAGAUGAACACAGUAUUGAAAUGCAUUUGCCUUAUACAGCUAAAGCCAUGGAAAGCCAUAAGGAUGAGUUUACCAUUAUUCCUGUACUGGUUGGAGCAGUAAUCUAAUUACUGCUCCAACCAGUAAUUCGGAAAACUCUUCAGUAAAUAUCUAGCGGAUCCUAGUAAUCUCUUUGUGGUUUCUUCAGAUUUCUGCCAUUGGGGUCAAAGGUUCCGUUACAGUUACUAUGAUGAAUCCCAGGGGGAGAUUUACAGAUCCACUGAACAUCUAGAUAAAAUGGGUAUGAGUAUUAUAGAACAAUUAGACCCUGUAUCUUUUAGCAAUUACUUGAAGAAAUACCGUAAUACUAUAUGUGGAAGACAUCCCAUUGGGGUGUUAUUAAAUGCUAUCACAGAGCUCCAGAAGAAUGGAAUGAAUAUGAGCUUUUCCUUUUUGAAUUAUGCCCAGUCAAGCCAGUGUAGAAACUGGCAAGACAGUUCAGUGAGUUAUGCAGCGGGAGCACUCACGGUCCACUGAAGCUCUGAAUCCUCAGGGAUGCCACCUGCACAUACUCAUUCUCUGUCCGGGGUCCCAGCCUAGCCCUUACCAAGAUACUGGUCCUGGUUUGGGGGGAUUCUGAAAUCUCAAACUAAUAGAACUUUCUUCUCUUCUUUUCUAGUAGGUGUAGUCCUUCCUUAAUUUCAACUCAUUAAAAAAUGCUUUAUAGUUUAGGGCAGUGGAAGGAAGGCUGGCAUCAAAAUAUUUUGAUCAAAAAAGAUGGCAAUGUAAAGGCCCAAUUGUGGCAGACAGUGUUUUGAAAGUAACUUGUAAAGCAUUUACCAUAUCCUAAAUUUGCACUCUUUGCAGACUUGUGCACAUAUAUUCCGCUUUCAGAAUAGUUUUGCAAAUUGUACACAAACAAACAAAAAAAGGGUGGAAGCUUUUUAAUAAAGAAAUUGCAUUUAUAAAUGAUCUGUAUUAGAAUAUAAUAAAUCUCCAGUUAUAGUCAAUUACUACCCGUGUUGUACAACAGAUACCUUCUAUUUUAGUUGCUAAUAAAGGGCUACACAACUCAAAAAAA